rnacentral:lncRNA from 1 species
CCCGCCUGUUUCUCCCGUUCCACUGAGAAUUGGUGCUCCGAAAGCAGAGUAUAAGGCACUAAGUCACAAGGCAACCCUCAUGAUCCCCGGGCAAAAGGGUAGCUCUGUUUUUAAACCCGGAGGAGGCAUCUUCCCCCGGGGGUUGCCGGGCUUCUGUUCCUGUGUGUGUUGGUCUCCAGGAAGCCAUGGAGAGCUUGGCAGCAGAGACAGAGUCUCGAUAUGUCGCCAAGCUUGGUCUCAAACUCCAAGGCUCAAGUGCUCAAGUGAUCCACCCACCUCGACCUCCCAAAGUGCUGGGAUUACAGGGAAAAUAGUAAUUGAGCAUCAGACAUCACCACUCCUGAAAAAAACCUUCUACAAGAAUUGAAAAGUGUUGCAGGACCUAAUACUGAAAUAGGAAAUAUGGACUAUCUUCAAACUGCACAAAUGAUGCAUGAAUCCACAUUUGAGACCCGCAACUCCGAGGUACCUAAUGUGAAUGAUUAAAGAUAUUUUACAAACCGGGGAGCCCUUUC